CCUACGGGGGGCAGCAGUGGGGAAUAUUGGACAAUGGGGGCAACCCUGAUCCAGCCAUGCCGCGUGUGUGAAGAAGGCCCUCGGGUUGUAAAGCACUUUCAGUGAGGAAGAACGCCUGGUGGUUAAUACCCAUCAGGAAAGACAUCACUCACAGAAGAAGCACCGGCUAACUCCGUGCCAGCAGCCGCGGUAAUACGGAGGGUGCGAGCGUUAAUCGGAAUUACUGGGCGUAAAGCGCGCGUAGGUGGCUUGAUAAGCCGGUUGUGAAAGCCCCGGGCUCAACCUGGGAACGGCAUCCGGAACUGUCAAGCUAGAGUGCAGGAGAGGAAGGUAGAACUCCCGGUGUAGCGGUGAAAUGCGUAGAGAUCGGGAGGAAUACCAGUGGCGAAGGCGGCCUUCUGGACUGACACUGACACUGAGGUGCGAAAGCGUGGGUAGCAAACAGGAUUAGAUACCCGUGUAGUC
rnacentral:rRNA from 1 species